CUACCACCACUACCAUUAGUUUUUGCAACAUGUCUACGCCGGCAGAAUACUAUCGUUCUUUACCACCGGUGAGCAAGACCUAUGGGGUGGCUUGUUUGAUGACCACAGCUGCCUACUAUCUGCAUCUUUACAACGUCGGGAAUAUAGCACUCUUUUAUGAGGAUGUAAUUAAACGUUUCCAGGUAUGGAGGCUGAUUACCAAUUUCUUUUUUCUGGGGCC
rnacentral:misc_RNA from 1 species